rnacentral:misc_RNA from 1 species
UGUGCUGUUAUUUGCUAGCAUUCGACACUGAUCUUAAGUAAUGCUAGCAUAAUGUUUGAAACGUGCAAAGAAUUUUAUUUCCGACAUCGAAUGCUAGCAAACAACAGCACAACGGACGACAUAAAUGCAUAGGAAGAUGCUAAUAUCUUUAUUAUACCAAACUGGCUAUCUGAGAUAGUGACAAUUUAAUUAAUAUAUAUGUUACGAAUGACAGAUCCUUUAUUAUAUUUUAAUUGUAUUUUAAGAAUGGAUGCUAGCAUCUUUGAAGAUCUAUUAUUAAUAGUAGAUCCUGGAAUUGAAAAACAAUUAAAUAUAAGAGAAUCAAUUGCUUUAAUUUAUAUACAAAACUCCAAAUAUGAUUAAUAUGCCAUGAUGUUCUAUGACGCUAUGACGCAACGAUGCCAAUGACGCGAACGCAUGCAGAAAAAAUUGUAGACACUGCGGCAAAACUCUGAUUGGCUGCUUCUAUGACGCACGUUCUAUUCCGCAGCUCUAUUCCGCACCAUGUGAUUUCAGCCUUAGCCGAAAUUUGGUUAGGUCCGUUAAAACGGACAAAAUUCCAUAGCUAGUUUCCCUUCUAAAAUAUUGCCUGGUUUAAGGCAUGAAAAAUGUUUUCACACGUCAGUUCAAGAUUUUGUUUUCAUUUUUUUCGAUUUUUUCCACAUUUAAUUAUUUAUAAAAUUUAUUUAUAAACAUAUUUUUUUAAAACAAAUAUUUUUUACUGUUAUGGCAGUAUAGAUAUUAAAAGAAUUGUUUAAAAGAACAGUAUUACAAAAAUACUUCAUUUUAUAUAUUGUUUUAGUAAAACUUGAAUGUAGUAUAUGCAAAAUUCUUAUUGUAAAACUUUGAUGAAUAAUGAUAGUUAUCAAGCAUCUCCUAUACCGGAACUGGACGUAAUAUUCUCCAAGUUUCGUGGUGAAAAAAGUACUGGUAAUCAGAGCAUUUGGAUCAAUUGCCACAGGAUUUUCAGUCAAGUAUGGGCGAAUCUCAGUCGCCUUGUUUUACGAAACGGGAAUGGACGAAAAACAACAAAAUGGCAGAUGUGACUGAGUGCCAAGUGCCAAAUUUGACGACUAUAAAUUCGACCCUAAUGGUUUCAACAGACCAGCGCAAUUUCUGUCGCCCGCAACGUACGACGUCCAAUGAGCGACCGUCUUUCCGCUCAUCUCUGUACGCUCAUUAGAUGUCGCGCGUUGCGCGCGACAGAAAUCGCGCUGGUCUGCCGGAGCCAUAGAGCUUGUAUUAAUGGAAGGGCCAUUGCUAUAUGCCAGAGUCCGUGCGGGGAGAAUCGACAGAGACAUGAAUAUAUUCUCAUAUAUUCUGUCUCUUUUCGUAUUGGACAUCCCCACCACUACGUUUUCUAGAAGAAAAGAAGCGCACAUACGAGCGGUACGACAGGGUCUUUAGUGCAAAAGAGAGAGGCCAACCCGGUCCGUUUGUUCUACUCCAAACGCCAGCUAAAUAAAAUUCAAAUAGGACGUUUUCGACCCAUAGGGAGGGAUUACAUUUUUUAAACCAUUAUUUAUAUGGUUAUAAGGGUGAGGACGAAAACGAUCCAUAGGGAGGAAUAGAAGGUGCCGAAAAACGGGAAGGAUUGAGGAUUAAUGAAUGCACAGUGUUAUAUUUCACAAUCGGUAUCUAAAGUGGAUAAAACAACAAUGGUAUCACCUACACGAGUCUAUAAUUCUCCAGAAAAAUCUAGAUUACGAAAAAGAAUUAAAUUCUUGGAAAUACAACAUGCAAAAAAAAUGCGAUUUGCGCAACAAAAAAUACGACGGUAUAAGAAUCAAGUGAUCACACUCAAAGAAAUUUUAAACAAAUUAAAGAAUAAUCAAUUGUUGAAUGAAACACAAAUUGACAUCAUACAUAUGUUAGGUAAACCAAUAGGUGAGAUUUUUAAGCGAUUAAUUAUGCGAAAGAAAAAUGCAUGCGUACCUAAACAAUAUUCGCCGGAAAUACGUUCAUUUGCACUAACGCUACAUUAUUACUCUGCACGAGCUUAUGAAUAUGUGCGUGAUUACUUUAAUAAGUGUUUACCACAUGUAAAAACUCUUUCUUCUUGGUACAGAAGUGUUAAUGGAGAACCUGGUAUUAGUUCAGAAGCGUUAUAUUCUAUCACUGAACGUGUAAAAAAAUCAAAUUAUACAUUAUUUGGUUCUUUACUAUUUGAUGAAAUGGCAAUUCGAGAACAUUUAGAAUAUGAUGGUUCAAAAUUUAGCGGUUACAUUGAUUUGGGAGAAAACAUUGCUUGUGAUGAUACUAUCUUAGCAAAUCAAGUUUUAGUUUUUAUGAUUGUUUGCAUAAAUGGUGCAUGGAAAAUUCCAAUUUCAUAUUACUUGAUAAAAGGAAUGUCUGCAGAUGAGAAAACUCGUUUGGUAACAGAAUGCUUAAAAGCUGUGCAUGAAACUGGCUUAAAAAUAAUAUCUUUGACUUGUGAUGGAACAUCUACAAACUUUUCUGUUUUUAAAAAUCUCGGGUGCAAUUUUGAUGAUAUAACUUCGUUGCAGACAUCGUUUUCUCACCCUGUUACAAAUGAAAAAAUAGUAGCUUUUUUCGACCCCAGUCAUAUGCUAAAACUAGUGCGAAAUACUUUUGGAGAUUUGCAAUAUUUUAUUGAUGGGGAUAAUCAACCAAUACGAUGGUUAUACUUAAAUAAUCUUCAUGAAUUACAACAACUGGAAGAUGUUCGGGAAAUUUCGGAAUUUUCUAAGAAUGUCAUCGAAUAUAUUGCUGGCUAUGUCGUAAUGCAAUUAAAAGAAAAAUUAAUUUGUGAUGUUUGCGUAAGUGCAUUAACAGUACGUAACGUUGGAAAAAAUAAUUUGAUAAGUGUAAAAAGUCGUGGAAAAUUAAUACAACCGUCAGUUGAUGUUAUAACUAUAUGUCGUAAAUGUGAAACAGAAAUUCGGUGCGCUGUUCAUUCAAGUGGAACAUUUAUAAAACGAAAACUUAAUGAACCUUAUAUAUCAAACCAAGUUUUAGAACAAUUUAUUAACAGUAAUUUAUUUAACAAUUUAAAAGCACACGCACACGAUCAAUCAUUAAUGGAAAAUCACGAUGUCCAUUUAAUUCGAGCUAUUGUUAAAAAAUAUGUAAAAAUUAGGCUACACUAUAUAGCGUUAACUAGUAUAGAUAAAUCAAAUAGUAAGCGUCACUUACUUAAUAAACUUGUACUUUUUAAAGGGCAAUAAAUGUUGUUACUUAUUAAAUAUAAUUAAUGAUAUUUGUUACCAUACAUUUCAUAAACAUAUCCCUCAUUGAAUCCAAAUUUUUUAAUGCAAUUCCAAAGAUAUAUCUCAGGGGCUCGAUUCUUGAGCUUAUUCGCAAGAGAAAUGUAUUUGCAAACUUUGUUUUUAUAGAAUAAUUGGAAAUUUAUUGACUGUCGUAUGGCUUUUAAUAAACUUGCAACUUUUCUGUUGCAGCGGGUAUUUGCGCAUACAUUUCUUUUGCGAAUGAAGUGACUGCUGUUAAAAAAUGAUUAUUGCAUAAAAUGUCUGAUCAUCAGUAUUACUGUGAUAGUAUCGCAAAUGAAAUUAGGAUUGAUAUUCAGGAUACCGAAAAUUUGUCUGAUAAUUUCGAAAAUGAUAGAGAAAGAAAUGGCGAUGACUUUCUGAUAGAGUUAUAUAGAGAAAAACCGUAUUUAUAUAAUAAGAGAAAUAAUAAUUUUAAGGAUACAUUAAAAUAAAACGCAUGGAACGAAAUUUCUAAAACGAUAAUUGAGACAAAUUGUGGUGAUUUUUACACUCCAGAAUAUUAUCAAAGAAGGUGUAUUUCAUUAAGAGAACAAUUUAAUCGCGAAAAAAAGACAAGAAAAUGAAUCCAGAAGUGCUGCUUCAAAUUCCAAAUCACGUCCAUUUGCAUUAUAUUCCAAAUUGACAUUUUUGGACCAAGUCAUAAAAAGACGAAGAAGUUAUACUAAUGUACAAAAAUUACAAUCAGAUGCAACAUUAGUUAACGAAAGUGUAUUAGGAAGUGAAGUUCCAGAUGUUAGCACUUGUUCAAAUAAUAAAGAAAGUGAAGGCGAAAAGAAUCAAGAGAAUGUCGAUAUAAGAAAUUUGCACAAGUUACAAUAUGUUCUCCACGUCGCAAGAAAGGAAAAAUAAAUGAAACUAAAUCAUUAGACAAAACCAGAACAAACAUUUAUGAAUAUGAGCAGCAGAAUUGUGAAUUACAUGGAAAAUUCAAAACCACACACAGCAGAUGAAGCAUUUAUACAAUUUAUAAAAGCACAGUUAGAUAAUGUCCCGGAACACGAAAAAAAUAUUAGAAGAAAAAUGAUUAUGGAUGCUACAUUUGUAUCAUUGUCAAACAUAUAAUCUUUUUAUGUAUUUUAUUAUCCAUUUAAUGUUUGAAACAUGUUAAAUACUUUAUUGUUUAUUUAACAUAUAUAUAUAUAUAUAUAUAAUUUUUAUUUUAUAAUUUAAUUUUUAUACUGUGAUAAUUAGUUACAACAAAGAUAUAGUUUAUUUAUUUAUCACAGUGCUCAUUGCGUACCUAAGUAGCGAGGUCUUAAUAAUAUCUUAUUGAUGUAUUAGAAAGGUUUACUUUAUAAUUUAAUUUUUUAUACUGUGAUAAUAAGUUACAACAAAGACUUAAUGUAUUUUUUCUCACAGUGCUCAUUGCGUCCUUAAGUAGCAAAAAAGUUUUAUGACAUUUUAUUAAUGAUAGAAAGAUUAAUAAGACGUUAUUUAAGCAUUUGACGUCAUAUUGCUGUGCUAUUACAAAUAUUUUACAUUUUAUUAAUUUAUUAUAAUUAUUAUUAUUAUAUUUGGAUAAAUUUAUUUCACUACAUGAGAGAGAUUUGUCUAUUGCAUAUAUUUUUAUUUUUGCAUAUUCCUUUUAUUUUAUGUUAUUUUACCAUGUUGUAUACUAUAUCUCAUAUACUUAAAUACAAUAAGCAUAAACCAAUGCAGUAUAUUUGCAAUAUUUUUUUUAUAGAUUAAAUUCAAAACAUUGUAAACGCAACCAUUUAUGGCAGUGUUACGUCCGGCCGAUUUUUCGCGCCGGCCGUCACGAUCUAAGCAAGGAUCGCGCCUUACGAUGACGCGUUGCCGUGGUAACGGAGUGCGAACGGAUUCACGCGCUCUCGGUGCCGGGGACUGGUGGAUCACGCGCUGCGAGCAUGCGGUCCGCUCUGGCGGCGCGCAUGCGUUAAUUAAAAAUAUCAUUUAUUAGAGAACCGAAUUAGAUAUCGAAAAAUUUCCAAAAGAGGAGUGAUCCUUCCCCUAGCCGGCUUCCCGAAAGCUGAGGCGCCUCGGCUUCGAAUCAUUGAUAGUAAUCGCGCAAAUUAACUAAUUAAUUUAAUUUAUUAAUUACUUUUUGGAGAGGAGGAAAGCCUACGCUCUCGCCGGCGCCGGUGAAUCCGCACUCGCGCGGGAUCAUUUGGGAUAGGGCAGUAAGGGCCAAACACCCUUAAUUAAUUAACAAACGGAGUAAAUGAGUUUCGAACACGAGGAGGAGCACCCUGUACCUCCGUGGUACUGGAAUCUCCUAUCCUCAACUCCGUUAUGAAAAAUUCAAAUUAACUCACUUACGGAAUACGGCAAUUAAAAGGAGUGGGCGAUAGUUGCGCGCCCCACGACUAAAAAAUGUGAAUAAGAGGGCAAAACUUUAUCUGGCGACCAUAAAAUAACAAACGAUAAUUAAUUAGUCAUCAAAUUAGAUGACAGAUGUUAGAUGAAUUAUUGCUCCUUUUUCCGCGCUCUUCACCCCCGAACGCCCUCACUUGCAGGUAUAUAAGCCGCGAUUUUCGGGCAAAAUUAGAGAUUUUGCCUCCUUGUCUCGCGCCGAAAGGUCGUAAAACGCGUUCCGUACUGACUCUCAUACUUAUAAAAUUUCGCGAUUUUUCUCGUCCGAACUUAGAAUAUUUUUCGCGAUUUUUGAAUCCUAACUUAGAAUAUUUUCGUAAUUUCCGUAUUCGAACUUAGAAUAUUUUUCGCGAUUUGAAUUCAAAUUUGAACUUAACACCUUUUGUCGCGAUUUAAGACUUACAAUUUAAACUUGGAAUAUUGCGCGGUACUAAGAGAGACUCGAGGUGGCAAUUUCUCCCUUACGUUAUUAAUUAGUUUUUUUUAUAAUUAUAAAACGCGACUAGCGAUCACAGCGAGCGUCUUGCGUGCGAACCGAAUAAGUGUGAAGCCGGAAAAUUGUGAAGGUGCGAGUUCUCUUUUUUUUACAAAAUUUUUCGUUUAUUAAAAUUAGUGUAAUUAAGAUCGAGAUCUUUUUUUUUCUUUCCACGUUGCUGAAGUGCGAGUGCGGGACAAAUCGGUGGUGCUUCGAUCACUCUUAAUACUUUCCAUUUAUAGACGGUGAAAGUGGUGAACCACGGCUCAGAGCUGCAGUUCCGUAAGGAGUGCAACGGCCCUCGUCACCCGCUGGGUGAGCGCGUUUCAGCGUUCCCUCACGGCACGCGGGAGGAUCGUGCGCUUUGCUUCUCUCUCUCUCUCUCUCUCUUUGUCGCAACCUCCCAUCCUUUCGAGGACGACCAGCCAACGGUGCGGGAAGGUGUGCGCUGAGAAGGGUACGUCCUUCCCCGUCAACCGCCCUUGCGAAGUCGUAAGACUUUAGCGUAGAUGCGGGGCUACCGGCGCGCUAUAUGCGUUCCGCCAUUCUUGACAGCACCGGAGCGGACACCAACGACGGUGCCGUUACUAAACCAGGCGCCUCCACCCAAAUUUAUAGUGUGGGGUACGCGUCCUUUGAUCCUCUCGAUCCACGCCGUCAGGCAAUCCAGCGGCCUCCGCAUAAUAAUAAUAACGAUGAUCUUCGCGCGAAGCACGACCGAACAAAUCGCUCGGUGACUUAACAUAGUAGUUUCCCACCUUGCGUAUUACCUUGAUUGUCAAUUAAAAUAAGAGAACUCAAGAAACGGUAUUUCUUGUUACAGGACAAGAAGAUCAAUUAAUAAAGAUACGAUUAAUUAAAAUCCACAUAACCAUGCUAGCACCCCUAACACUCUCUGUUUCCGCUCGGUAGAGGAGAGUAACUUAAUAGAACAAUACGAAAAAUAAUAUUUCACGAUCCUUGUCCUGCCGGAUGUAGCAGCAGUAAUUGCAAACUUUUCUUUUCCAUUAAAGUAUAUGGCUAAUGUAUUGAAAUUGUUCUAAAUAAAAAUAAAUAAUUAAACUUU